UUAAUUGAAGCCAAAAAAGAGGCAUUUCACUGUUAAUGAAUGUACUGAAGUUUUCUUCCAAUUAAA
rnacentral:tRNA from 1 species